rnacentral:snRNA from 1 species
AUCGCUUCUCGGCCUUUUGGCUAAGAUCAAGUGUAGGAAAGGAUAUCAUCCUCUCAAGUAACCAUGCACUUGAAUCUUUGGAUUCAAUAAGAAUCUUAUAACCACUCAUUUCUCUUUAUUGCUUUAGUAAUGUUCAUUAUAAUAUUUGUAGAAUAACUGUG